UACGGAGGGAGCUAGCGUUGUUCGGAAUUACUGGGCGUAAAGCGCACGUAGGCGGCUUUUGUAAGUUAGAGGUGAAAGCCCGGGGCUCAACCCCGGAAUUGCCUUUAAGACUGCAUCGCUUGAAUCCAGGAGAGGUGAGUGGAAUUCCGAGUGUAGAGGUGAAAUUCGUAGAUAUUCGGAAGAACACCAGUGGCGAAGGCGGCUCACUGGACUGGUAU
rnacentral:rRNA from 1 species